GUUAUGUUCCGGGGUUCUCUGGUUCUCUUGGUGGGGUUUUUCCUGUGCGCCUUUUCCACCUCUUACCACCAGAUGGCGACAGGUUCCGGUUGGAGUGCGGUGGUAUCAUCAUCAUCCACAGCUGUCAUCAAUUACCCUCAUCAGCGGAGCAUACUUAAGGAGUUGACCGCCAGUCCAGCGUCGCCUGAGUGUUUGCCAGUCACGGUACCUCUGAGAGCCCCCUUGAGCCCUGUCUCUGUGUUCCUCGUUGCCUUGAGCCUUCCUUUGAUUCUCUUUGUGUUUCUCUGUUGCCUUCAGGAGAUCCCUUUGACACUCUGGACCCGCUGACCAGAUCCUGGCAGUUUCCUUGGUUUCAGAACCUCCCUCGUGACGCCGUGGAAAGUAUCCACUGGUUGCCCGAGUUCCCAGACUCACCUCUCCGUUGUUUGCAAGUAUCUCCUGGACCCCACGGCUGGCGGCCGAAUCACUCCUCUGUGUCUCUGUUGCACCCGAGCCUACCUGUCCGUUCUCCGCCGCACUCCUCCGUUGUUCCUGGACCCACUAGAGACCGAGACCCUGGACAUACUCAGUAACCCUCCAAGAUUCAGAUCCAGCCACCACCAAUGAACCACUGCUGCCCGUUACAGUUGAUUCCCUGGACCAGACCACCUUCCCACACUCUGAUAAUUGUGUACCUUAAUAAAUCACUUAAACUGAU